ACUUUGACGCUUUGCCUUGUUAUUAUUCGUUGAAAAUCAUUUAUCUACUUGUAAACGUUCAAGUCGAUUAUGUCUUACAUAUGGUGGUAGUCGAUUAUUUGAAGUCGCCUUUCUGCUGCCGAAAACUACCGGUUGGUGAAUUUUCAUACACGUUUUUAGAACAGCGUUUUUGCAAAUAUAAUAGUGACCACCUUACAUACAAUACAUAAACUACAGUUAGACUUCACAGACGAGCAAGCGCAGCGGAAGAUGGUUGUUGAAGAGCUGGUUUUUAGAAACGACGGCAAGUAUGCCCGUAUUUCUACCAUCGUCACAUGUGGUGCUACGGACAAUUUCAUAGAUGAUAUUGAUCGUGCUGUGUAUGAUGGUGCAAAUACCUAGUAAGUGUUUGACAUGUGACGGUCAUUAUGUGAACUGGCUCCUCAUGUUGAUACCCUACCCGGUCUAGAACAAUAUGCUGUACGUAGAUGCAUGCGCAACACCUACACGAGCAAGUCUUCGCGCUUUACGUCUACAUUUACAUAUUUUUGAUUUUUGCCCGAAUCAUCGCAAUUACUAAAAGUGGAUUAUAUUAUCAAUAUAGAAAUUUUUCGAUGUAUUAGUUUUAGUCUAUAUGAAUAUAUUUUACUAACUCUUACUAAUAUUAGGGACGCCAAUUAUAUUAAA